rnacentral:lncRNA from 1 species
GAAAAAGAGAAAAAUCGACCUUUUAUUGUGGAGGGUAUGAACCGGAAGUGCUCGUGUUGUUUCUGCUGGUAAUAGACAGCAGGCAGUACAGCAAUGCGUGUGGUUGGAUUUCAUUGUUAAAUUUGCGUUAAACUACACAUUAAUUACAUAUUCUGAUGGGAUUUGAUUGCUCUGAGUUGCAAAAACAAAAUGGGGACUCAAUUUCAGCAACAACCAUUAGCUAACAAUGAAGAUUAAUCCCUGUGUUUGCAGCUACCGAUUAAGCCAGCUUUGCUCCCCUGCUCCAAGAGCUGGCUGAGAUGGACCACCAUCAAAACCAAAUGUAGUGCAACAAGGUUAAUGAGCUUAACGUAGCUAAAGCCUGGAGACACGGCACAUGCAUGAUGUCCUGGGAUGCUUUUAUAAGGAAUAAAAUGGAUGCAGACAAACUAAGGCUGUCCUCUACACUCAUUCCCCAACUGUUACUUUAAUGGGUACCCUAGGACUCACCGCUGGAUUUCUUCAUUAAAACCUAAUUUCUUCUCCUGAUAGAAACUG